UCCACUAUCGUUCAGUGGUUAAAGUCCCAGCAUUCGUGAAUUUGCGGAAGCAGGACGUCGGGGGUUCGAUUCCUUCGGGUGGCA